CUGGCAGUUCAAAAGUGCUCACAGUGCAGAUAGUAAACACAGAGCUACUGCAGUUUGCGCACUUCAUGCUUUGCAGG
rnacentral:pre_miRNA from 1 species